AUGCUGUUGUGUCUCCAUGUGUUUUCAACGCUGUUGUUCUGUCAAUACCACGUCAUACUCAUUCAACAUGUGAUCUACUGGGGCAUUUCCUUUAUGAAGCCCCUAUUGACGCACCUGCCACCAAGUAAACUUGAUCACUCCCUGUUUUUGUGGCCCCGCUGCUCCCUGAAAGCUUCUACCGCGGUUAACAAUGUCUUCCCUGACAAAACGAAAAUCAGACAAACUAAACCCAAGAAGUGUCUUACUCCAGUCACAAUCCCAUGGAAGCAUACUUUUUCUGAGUAACCUAGAUUGGUCUUGGCAGGUCACGGAAGAUACUUAAUGGAAAAGUGGGUCCACAAAGAGCACUUCGUGAUUUGGUAUCAUUACUUGUGCUUAAAUGCUAUUGGCUCACUCACUGCCUUCUACAUCCUACUCAGCCUUUUUCAUUUGCCUUAAAAGCCAUCUUUUCCGAGAAACUCUCCUUGAUCACUCCCAUCUGUAUGAAUUGCAUCUUCCUUGCGUGUAAUGGUGUUUGCAUUUCUAUUAAAUAUAUCGCCUUUAUUAUAGUUAAUUAUUGACUGAUCCCCCGCCCCCCCCAUCCCAAGAUUUCUUGGGACUGAUUGUGAAUUUCUGUGGGCAGAAAGAGUGCUAUUCAUUUUGGGGUCUCCCACAGUGCACAGUGCAGAGCGGUACACAGGCAGGAACAAAAGUCAUGGUCGCUGAAGUUUAGAAAUUUACAAUCUGGUUAGAAGCCAUCUGAUAUCCAUAGGUUAGCGCUGUCCUUGAGGUGCUCCCAGAGCAUAAGAGGUACACAAGAAGAAUGAAAUAAUUGUUCAUAACUCGUCUAGAGCCCAAACUCAACAACACAAGGAGGAAGUCUGGGUAAGGUAGGCAAAGGAUGGGGGAAGAUUGGGAGGAGAGGGGUGUGUAAGUCAGGGAUGCCGUGAGGCCAUCUUAGUGCCUCUUUGUUCCUGUGACAUCUAGAUCAGUUUGUCCCUUUUAGUUAUUUCUAUUUCUGUUUUCUUAGUAUCAAAUAGUAAUAGUUAUAUAGGUCUUAGUUUUAAUAAAUUGUUCCACUAAUGUGGUUUGACCUCA
rnacentral:lncRNA from 1 species